rnacentral:rRNA from 1 species
GGACUACAGGGGUAUCUAAUCCUGUUUGCUCCCCACGCUCUCGCGCCUCAGUGUCAGUAUUAGUCCAGGUGGCCGCCUUCGCCACUGAUGUUCCUUCCGAUCUCUACGCAUUUCACCGCUACACCGGAAAUUCCGCCACCCUCUACCAUACUCUAGUUAAACAGUCUGCAUUGACCUGCCCAGGUUAAGCCCGGGUAUUUCACAAUACACUUAUCCAACCACCUACGCGCCCUUUACGCCCAGUAAUUCCGAUUAACGCUCGCACCCUCUGUAUUACCGCGGCUGCUGGCAC